CCUACGGGGAGCAGCAGUGGGGAAUAUUCCGCAAUGGGCGAAAGCCUGACGCAGCGACGCCGCGUGAGGGAUGAAGGUCUUCGGAUCGUAAACCUCUGUCAGAAGGGAAGAACGGUCACUGUGCUAAUCAGCAGUGAAUUGACGGUACCUGCUAAGGAAGCACCGGCUAACUCCGUGCCAGCAGCCGCGGUAAUACGAAGGGUGCGAGCGUUAAUCGGAAUUACUGGGCGUAAAGCGCUCGUAGGCGGUAUGUCAAGUCAAGGGUGAAAUCCCCGGGCUCAACGGGGGAACUGCCUUUGAAACUGGCAAACUAGAGUGUGUGAGAGGAUAGUGGAAUUCCAGGUGUAGGAGUGAAAGCCGUAGAUAUCUGGAAGAACAUCAGUGGCGAAGGCGACUAUCUGGCACAUAACUGACGCUGAGGAGCGAAAGCGUGGGUAGCAAACAGGAUUAGAUACCCUAGUAGUC
rnacentral:rRNA from 1 species